AGAAGAGAAGUUUUUUAAAUAUUUGACCUGCAAUCAAAAGAAGGUGGUUAGACGUGCCGCCCUUUUCUG
rnacentral:tRNA from 1 species